UUGGGUGAAAUCAAUGUAGGACCCACACUUUGAAAAUAGAACCCACAUAAAGUGGUGGGAUAUACAUUGAUUUCAUCAGA
rnacentral:pre_miRNA from 1 species